CCCUUCUGUUCCCCCCUCCCCCACAGCCUCAGCGCGCUGCGCCACCAGCACUCUGGCCGAACUGCUGCCGGCGUGGCUGCGAGUUCCUGCUGCUCUGAGCAGCUGUGCAUCCACCACAGAUAACUAUGAACCAUGAUACGACUUCUGAAAACAUCACCUCCAGAUGUUGGACAGUAACAGAAACUGCAAGGGUUCUACAGCACCAGAAGAAUGUAGCAUGGGGUUGGCAACAAUGCCAUUGGCAGCCUAUGGUGGAGGAAAAAUUGGUGCACACGGGUGAGGGAUGAAGAUUUUGAUGAAGAAUAAGAAUAGAGCUUAAGGUACAAUCUACAAAACCAGAACUUUAGCAAGCUUCUCAAUUCCCAGUGCAUUCAGAGCAUAAUGACCAGAGAACCAUUUAAAGGGUCAGUGGUAACAGGCAAUUUCUGAGGCCUUCUUGGAUAGAAGAGGUAGGCAGCAGAAUAUGUAUCUGCAUGAACGUAUUUAGAAAUAUUUAUCUUGCCAAACACAGGGGAUAUCUGUGCUAUUCAGAAAAUGUAUUCUUCAGUUUGUCCAUCCCGAGUACAGCAGCAGUCUUAAGUUUCAUGGGCCAGAUUCUGCUCUCAGUAACACUGCUGUAUUCUGUUGAUCUUAAUAAUAUUGCUCUUGAUUUAUUCAGAGGUAAAUGAGGAGAGAAAUCAGCCCCUUUGUUUUUAUAAAGGACUGAAAAAGCCCUUUUAUGAAGGUAACAGUACGAAGUCUAAUGAUGUUCACAGAUUGUUACAUUGCAGUCAAUUACCCUUCUGCUGCUGGAGAACUAACUUUUUAAAAAUGUGUUUCAAAAAGGAUUCACCCCUUCUCCUCCCCACUGUGGAAGUGAGAAAAAGUUUGUUUUUUAUGCUCAUUCAUCUUCAUUUCAGUUAAGAAUGCUCUAGGACUGCCAAAUUUAUUAAAUUUUGUGGGAUUUUGGUAACGAGAGAAUGAGAAAAGAAUUAGAAAUCAAUCCAAGGCCACCAGAAUGCAUUAACAAGAUCCAGAAAGAAUGGGGUUUUGGUUAGACUUGUUUUGUAGGGUUUAUUUGGAAGAGAACCUCUUAGGUUAAAGUAGAGAAACUUAACUCAAAUUCCUUCUUGCUAGUUAGAAAGAUAAUUUCAUAUACAGACUUUAGCACUACCAACAGGAGAGAGACUGGAAAGCUUCAGAAAACAUAUGAAUUAAGGAUAGUCAAUUGUAAAACCAAAAUUUCUCAGCUCUUGCUGGUUUGUGAUAAAACCUUAACACUAUUUAAACUUAGAGGAAUUGUAUUUAAUUUCCCUCCUUUCCCCUCUUCCUUCCCCCCUGCCCCAUCUUUUUUUAUAUAUAAAAAAGACAAUGGAAAGUUAUAAGAUAUGAAUACUCUUUCCUGGAGAAAGUAGCCAUUUGUGUCCAGGGAAGGGUCAAAUAGUUUGGAUAAAAUAAGAACCAACCCAAACCACCACACAUUCUUAAACUGAAACUUCAGAAUAUUUAACAAACUCUUAUUCUUUCAUUUUCUUGUGCUUUUGCGUUUCCUAAUUUAGCUGUGCCCAAGAGUGGGAGCACUAAAACACACCAAGAAAUAUUCCAUUAGUGGUGAGAUGGAUGGACAGAUCUGGAUCAUGACACCUCCAUCUCAUGUGCUAACUAUUCAUUUCCUGCCCUUGAGGAUUCAUUGUCAUGUUGUCCAAUCUUGGGGGCUUCAUCCACAAUGCAAGUUUUAAAUGCUGAGACAUUUUUCCAUUAUGUCUAUAUACCACAAGCUGAAAUUUGUUUAGUUAUAAAAGGUUUUUAUGAUAUUCUGAAUAUUUUUUCAUGAACAUCAAUAAUUUCAAAAAAGUUCUCAAUUGUUUCAUAUUAUCUCACUCUCUUUUUAACUCUGUAUAUUAAACAUUAAUUUUUAUUCUUUAUUUUAAAUUAACUAAAUGCCUCUAGCACUUAUUCUGGCCAUUUUAUAUUUCUUUAGGCCGCACACAGUAGUCACACCGAGAAAGGGAUGACUGGAAAUAACAGGAAACAGAAGGAAAAACAGAUCCAGGGUAGGGCUCGAGAAAACCCUCUUUUAUCAAACCAGUAAUCCAAAGAUUCAGGUCAAGGGCCGGACCCCAUGCCAGGUACAGACCAUUGUCAGUUCCAGAAAGACAAUAAACCCCAUCCGACUUGAGUUCUUCCCCAGGUUUUCCUUAUGGAGGUCUGAAGAAUUUCUCCCAUUCACCAGACUUUCAGUUUGUGAACACAGCUCGGGGCAGGAGACACACCGUACGAUGAGUCCCCAGGAUAUGCUUCAUCUUGGGGAAAUCUGGCCAGUCUUUCCACUUGCUAAGUGGAUGAGCAGCCUGUGGCCUGAGCAUCACCUAGGGAAGCCCCACUGCUCCUCCUCUCUUCUGAGCAGGUUAUAGCUCUCAGGCCUGCAGAAUCCAAUUUUCUCCAGGAUUAACCCCCCUCCCAAAAAAGAGCCUUUCCUUUAUCAAGGCCCACAACUUUCUAAAGGCCGCUUCCUCCCCUUUAUCAGUAUUUCCCCUCCUGAUUAUUCCAUCCAGGUGAAGGAGUCUCCUUCUAUGCAUGACAUUUCUAACAGGAGCCAAAUGCAUCCCAUCUUUCUAAGCUUGGUCAUUAACCCCUUUGAGUCCUAGCCCUGUGUGGGUUUUGGAGACCCCAUUACAAACCUUAGUUUCUUAAUUAAACAAUAUAAGAAACACUGGUCUAGAUUCAGAAUGGCUUUUAGGCACUUAGAAAAUUACUGGGAUUCGCAAAGCCUGAGUUCACUGCCUAGGUGCCGAAUAUUAUGAAUGGGGAGAGAGAGGUGCCUCAGAAUGGGAUUCACAAAAGCCAGGACACUAGGUGGCACCUCACCUAAACUAGCCAAUGUGAGUUAUGUUCGUGGUCCUAUCCUUCUCUUGGAGAUGGGUACCUAAGUCCAGGCAAGCACCUCUCUCCUCUUGGAAUUUUCAACUGCAAACCCUCUCUUGGUGUUAGGAGCCUAUGCCAUUUUUAGCAAGAAGCUAAUCCUUCUCUCUCGCCUGAUGAUUCUUUCAUUAUUUAUCCACAGCAGAACAGCUUCAACAUUGGGCCAGAAAGAAAGACAGCAAGCACAAGAAUAAAUUCAUAACUUGGUAGUCAGAGCUCUCACCCGGGAGGUGGAAGACCCAGAAUCUAGUCCCCUGGCUCCAUGGGCGGUGGGUGAAUCUUGGGGAGGCUAGCCUCCUGCCUCGCCUCUUCUGGCCGAGGCCACACCCACGGUCUCUGGUCUCAGCUAGCCUGUGGCCCAGGAUCAGAGCUUGGUCAGGACAACGGAGGGGGGAAGAGAGCUUGGCCCCAGCCAGGGUUGAGAUCUCAGCCCCCACUGGGACCGUGGCAGAGCUCUCGACCUUGGCAGAAGCUCCAAGUCCAGAGCCCCUCACCCAUUCCUCUCCUUCCCCCACAGCCCCACUCCCUUCCCCCCACUCGCUCCUUUCUCCUCCUCGGCUGCAGCCCCAAGACCGGAAAAGCUCUGUGCCCCUGCUCCAGCUGUGGUGGGGAGCAAGAGCUCCUCCAGCCCCAGGGCUGUGGUGGGGGGAGAUUUUUCAAGGGACCCCGAAUUGGCCUGGCCCCUGCCCAAGAUACUGUGGAGCAGGUGUUUUACUUAUUGUUUGAAUACUUGAGUCAUUGUUGCGAUGUUCUCCAAACUUAAUGUUGUGUCCCAUCUCCUCUUAAUAAAAGUUUUAUUUCAUUA